CGCGUAGGCGGUUUGGUCAGUCGGAUGUGAAAGCCCCGGGCUUAACCUGGGAAUUGCAUUCGAUACUGCCUGACUGGAGUGUGGUAGAGGGAAGCGGAAUUCCGGGUGUAGCGGUGAAAUGCGUAGAGAUCCGGAGGAACAUCAGUGGCGAAGGCGGCUUCCUGGACUAACACUGACGCUGAGGUGCGAAAGCGUGGGGAGCAAACA
rnacentral:rRNA from 1 species